rnacentral:rRNA from 1 species
CUUACGGGGGGCAGCAGUAAGGAAUAUUGGUCAAUGGAGGAAACUCUGAACCAGCCAUCCCGCGUGAAGGAUGAAGGGGCUCUGCCUUGUAAACUUCUUUUGUCUGGGGCGAAAAAGCUCGAUUUAUCGAGAACUGACGGUACCAGAAGAAUAAGCACCGGCUAACUCCGUGCCAGCAGCCGCGGUCAUACGGAGGGUGCAAGCGUUAUCCGGAAUCACUGGGUUUAAGGGGUGCUAAGGCGUCAGUGUAGAAAUGCUGUGGCUUAACCAUGGAAUUGCCAUUGAUACUGCAGAUCUUGAAUGAGGUUGAGGUUGGCGGAAUGUGACAUGUAGCGGUGAAAUGCUUAGAUAUGUCAUGGAACACCGAUUGCGAAGGCAGCUGACUGGACCUAUAUUGACGCUGAGGCACGAAAGCGUGGGGAGCGAACAGGAUUAGAUACCCUGGUAGUC